UAUUGAAUGAUGUCAGACAUUGUGUGAAUCUGUGCGAGUAUGAUUACGCAGUCCACAAUGGUAAUUGCACGUGGAUCCGGUUGAGGUAUUGGAGGCAGGAAUAAUAUUUGUCCAGUCACAUAUCAUCUAGUAGUUUAAUAUUUUGUUUGAAGAGCAGUUAAAAACCUGUUGAUGUUGUGAACUACAUUCUAUCACGGCAGGGUUCCGUACAGACUGUGUGAAGAGAUUCUCAUGGAUGAUGGCUGCUAGUGCGGGUGUUGUGUUUCAGUAUGUGUAGAAUUUCGGUGUAUUUCUGAAAAAACUGAAUGAGGGACAUCUGAGGGCGUGUGGAAUGUAUACACAUAAUGAAAAAUGGGAAUAAUUGUCUGACCGUCUGUCUUCCGGAAUUAUUUGUCUCCGAAAGUACUGAACGGAUUUCGACAAUGUCUGAUAUUGGAGUUCCGCACUGAAAAUUGUCAAAUACAUUUUUGUUUUGGUCUGUUAUAACCCCUACGCCACAGAAUUAAUUAAAACUAACACUGUGGCAACUGAACUCGAAGAUUUAACUUAACACAAAAGGCUGCCAUUAAUCAUGAUCUUGAACAAGUCUCACAAGACAUGUCCCUAAAAUCUGCCUAAAUGUUAUCCUUUCUGUCUCUUAAAUGGAUGUUUUCGAAGACGUUUGCCAUUAAAAUUUUGUGCUUA